rnacentral:rRNA from 1 species
GCCUAGAGUGGGGGACAACGUGUGGAAACGCACGCUAAUACCGCAUACGCUCUACGGAGGAAAGCGGGGGAUCUUCGGACCUCGUGCUACUAGAUGGGCCUAUAUUGGAUUAGCUAGUUGGUAGGGUAAGGCCUACCAAGGCGACGAUCCAUAGCUGGUUUGAGAGAAUGAUCAGCCACACUGGGACUGAGACACGGCCCAG